AGUGAACGCUGGCGGUAGGCCUAACACAUGCAAGUCGAACGGCAGCACAGUAAGAGCUUGCUCUUACGGGUGGCGAGUGGCGGACGGGUGAGGAAUACAUCGGAAUCUACUUUUUCGUGGGGGAUAACGUAGGGAAACUUACGCUAAUACCGCAUACGACCUACGGGUGAAAGCAGGGGAUCUUCGGACCUUGCGCGAUUGAAUGAGCCGAUGUCGGAUUAGCUAGUUGGCGGGGUAAAGGCCCACCAAGGCGACGAUCCGUAGCUGGUCUGAGAGGAUGACCGGCCAAAGUGGAAUGGAGACACGGUCCAGCCUCUAAGGGAAGGCGCAGGGGGGAAUAUUGGACAAUGGGGCGCAACCCUGUCCAGGCAAUACCGCGUGGGUAAGGAAGGCUUUCGGUUGGUAAGGCCUUUUGUUGGGAAAGAAAAGCAGCAGGUUAAUACCCCGCUGUUCUGACGGUACCCAAAGAAUAAGCACCGGCUAACUUCGUG
rnacentral:rRNA from 1 species